AACGAACGCUGGCGGCAUGCCUAACACAUGCAAGUCGAACGAGACCUUCGGGUCUAGUGGCGAACGGGUGCGUAACGCGUGGGAACCUGCCCUUAGGUUCGGAAUAACUCCCCGAAAGGGGUGCUAAUACCGGAUAAUGUCUUCGGACCAAAGAUUUAUCGCCUUGGGAUGGGCCCGCGUUGGAUUAGCUAGUUGGUAGGGUAAAAGCCUACCAAGGCGACGAUCCAUAGCUGGUCUGAGAGGAUGAUCAGCCACACUGGGACUGAGACACGGCCCAGACUCCUACGGGAGGAAGCAGUGGGGAAUAUUGGACGAUGGGCGAGAGCCUGAGCCAGCAAUGCCGCGUGAGUGAUGAAGGCGUUAGGGUUGUAAAGCUCUUUUACCCGGGAUGAUAAUGACAGUACCGGGAGAAUAAGCGCCGGCUAACUCCGUG
rnacentral:rRNA from 1 species